UUCGGACUGGAGUCUGCAACCCGACUCCACGAAGUUGGAUUCGCUAGUAAUCGCGCAUCAGCCAUGGCGCGGUGAAUACGUUCCCGGGCCUUGUACACACCGCCCGUCAAGCCAUGGGAGCCGGGGGCGCCUGAAGUCCGGGACCGCGAGGACCGGCCUAGGGCGAAACUGGUGACUGGGGCUAAGUCGUAACAAGGUACC
rnacentral:rRNA from 1 species